UACGAAGGGGGCUAGCGUUGUUCGGAAUCACUGGGCGUAAAGCGCACGUAGGCGGAUUGUUAAGUCGGGGGUGAAAUCCUGAGGCUCAACCUCAGAACUGCCUUCGAUACUGGCAAUCUCGAGUCCGGAAGAGGUUGGUGGAACAGCUAGUGUAGAGGUGAAAUUCGUAGAUAUUAGCUAGAACACCAGUGGCGAAGGCGGCCAACUGGUCCGGUACUGGCACGCUGAGUGCGGAAAGCGU
rnacentral:rRNA from 1 species